rnacentral:rRNA from 1 species
CCCUUAGAUGUUCUGGGCCGCACGCGCGCUACACUGAAGGGAGCAACGAGCACAACCUUGUCCGAAAGGUCUGGGUAAACUCUGAAACCCCUUCGUGAUGGGGAUAGAUUAUUGCAAUUAUUAAUCUUCAACGAGGAAUUCCUAGUAAGCGUGAGUCAUCAGCUCACGUUGAUUACGUCCCUGCCCUUUGUACACACCGCCCGUCGCUUGUACCGAUUGGAUGGUCCGGUGAAAUCUUCGGAUCGCUGACAUGGCACUUGUGCCAUGUUGCGAAAAGUUGCUUAAACCUUAUCAUCUAGAGGAACAAGAAGUCGUAACA